UACGAAGGGGGGCUAGCGUUGCUCGGAAUUACUGGGCGUAAAGCGCACGUAGGCGGCUUUCUAAGUCGGAGGUGAAAUCCUGGAGCUCAACUCCAGAACUCGCCUCGAUACUGGAGUGCUUGGAGUCCGGGAGAGGUGAGGUGGAACUGCGAGUGUAGAGGUGAAAUCGUAGAUAUUCGCAAGAACACCAGUGGCGAAGGCGGCUCACUGGCCCGGUACUGACGCUGAGGUGCGAAAGCGUGGGGAGCAAACAGGG
rnacentral:rRNA from 1 species